rnacentral:rRNA from 1 species
AUUGAACGCUGGCGGCAGGCCUAACACAUGCAAGUCGAGCGGAUGAAGGGAGCUUGCUCCUGGAUUCAGCGGCGGACGGGUGGGUAAUGCCUAGGAAUCUGCCUGGUAGUGGGGGAUAACGUCCUGAAACGGGCGCUAAUACCGCAUACGUCCUGAGGGAGAAAGUGGGGGAUCUUCGGACCUCACGCUAUCAGAUGAGCCUAGGUCGGAUUAGCUAGUUGGUGGGGUAAAGGCCUACCAAGGCGACGAUCCGUAACUGGUCUGAGAGGAUGAUCAGUCACACUGGAACUGAGACACGGUCCAGACUCCUACGGGAGGCAGCAGUGGGGAAUAUUGGACAAUGGGCGAAAGCCUGAUCCAGCCAUGCCGCGUGUGUGAAGAAGGUCUUCGGAUUGUAAAGCACUUUAAGUUGGGAGGAAGGGCAGUAAGUUAAUACCUUGCUGUUUUGACGUUACCAACAGAAUAAGCACCGGCUAACUUCGUG